UAGCAAACUCAGCAGCAAUUCAAACACAAAUUUAAAUACUUCCAUCUGUAGUUUUGCGUUGCCAUUACAAAACUGCAACAGGUUGCAGUCUUGACAUGUUCCUCAUAUUUUUGGAAAAAGAGUUAAACUAAAUUCCUUCCACAUUCUGAAGUUCAAAAACAAUAUGAAAAAUAUAAACUAAAGUAAAAAUGCAAGGUAAGUUCCAAAAUUGCACAACAGAGACAGCAAAUUCAACUACACAGGUUGUCCAAACUAAGCUUGAGUUGAACUGGCAUUCCAACAACGGUUCUCUUUAUGUAUAUCUAGUAGUCACCCAAAAUUCUGUGGUCAUCCUGCAGGAUGGUAAAAUGCCAUCUUCGUGAUUACCGCCUGUCAGUUUUGCCACUUGAUCUCUUCCCAGAGAAGAGAUGUUUCGGUUUCAGAGUAGGAAUGACUCUAUCGGACUCUCCCCGACGAGCAUCCUUGUUCCUCUUAUUAGCAGAUUUCUUAAACAACUUUAUAGCCUGCUCCUUCUGGGGUUUGUCCUUGAAGCCCUCCCCUGGAACAAAUUCACUUCGAGGUCGUGACAUUGACCUUGAUCUUGCCAUGGAAAGUGAUCUAGACCUACGUUGCUUCUUGCUGGGAGUAAUCUCAUCAACAUCCAUUGCAUCAUUACCAUUGUCAUCUCCACAUUCAACUGAUCUCUCUCGCUUACGACCCCUUGACUUACUUCGAGCUCGAUUGAUUGCUAGAGUUGGAUCCAAUCCCAGAGCAGAUAACUGUCUUCCCAUUCUUUUUGAAGUAAAUUCCUUGUCUUUAUCAAACUUUCUUGGUACUGUGGGCCUGCUCUCUGCGGUGCUCUUCUUCACUCUAUGCUGCUGAAUGAGCAAACUUUUCUUUUUUCGGAUUUCAGCUAAUGCUGCUUGUUCUUCAGGGGUCAGCUCUGCACCGUCCAUCUCAAAAUCAUCAUCUCCUUCUUCCUCUUGACGAAGACCUUCUUCUCUCUCCAAUUCUUCAAGCCUUUGUAAGAUAUCAGGGUCAACAAAGUCAUAGACAUUGUGCCCAUCUAAAAUUUCAGGCAUUAUAUCUUCCUUCCACUCUUCAUUGGCUAAUAGAUAGUGCUUCCUUAAGCUUGCAGAAUAAACACCAGCACCUCCAUUCUCAUUCUCCAAAUCUCUCUCAAGCUUCCUUUUCUGUUUCUCAGCAUCUGCCUCAGCCUGCUUCGCUCUGGCUUCCAACAAUGCCUCAGGUAUGCAUGCUGGCCUCUCUUUCUGGUCACGUUGUUUUGGCAUAGCAACAUGGAAGCGGUUCAAGCAGUCAUUUAACUUUUUCGAUUUCAUUUUCAAUUCAACUCUUUGAUUCAGUAACCUCUCACAAGCUGCAUUCUUCACUGAAAUUACGCCAUCUUCAGUCAAAGUGCUCAUAGUUAACAGCACACCUGCUUCAUCUGUCGCCUCACCACCUUGACCAAUCACUGUCUUCAUAGCUUCAUCUUUCAUCUCCGCAACUAGCUUCUUAUCUUCCUCAGAAAUCCCUUCUAAUGGCUGCAAGUCUGUUUUGUUGCAUACAAUCAUCAACGGCUUGUUCAUAAAAAGUGAUUUGAUGCUGUGAAAAAGAGCGGCCUGUUGUGCAAUGCUAUAGCCACAAGAACCAGAAAUAUCAAGGAAAAAUAACACAGCGGCCCUCAGAUGUGCUAGAGCUGUAAUACUGCACAUUUCUAUGAUAUUACGAUCUUCGAAUGGCCUAUCCAAGAUCCCUGGAGUGUCGAUAACUUGAUACCGCAGAUAUUUGUAGUCAGUAUGACCAACAAACAAGGACUUCGUAGUGAAGGCAUAAGGCUGCACAUCCACAUCUGCUCUUGUAAUCUUAUUGAUGAAUGAACUCUUGCCAACAUUUGGAUACCCACAAAUCAAGAUGGUUCGAGUAUUGGGAUCAAUGGAGGGAAGUCUUGCCAUGUGCUGCCUAAUCUGUUCCAAAUAAGCUAAACUUGGGCCAAUGCGCUUUAUAACAGUGCACAUACGCCCAAGAGCUGCAACUUUCAGUGACUUGCAGCGAUAGAGUGAGUCACCAUAUUUCAACAAUUUCACAUAAUCCUUCGCUACUUUAGAAAUCAAAUUUCUAGCAGUAUUAAUUUGGCCAAGGGCAAGCUUGUAAUGAUCUUUGUUGUAGAGCACGUGAAGAAGGUCCCCAUAGAAAGGAUGGAUAUCAUCAAGCCUGGGGAACUCAUCAAUAAUGGUGGAGAGUUUGUCAUAGAAAUUCUGCUGUGUAUAUUUCACUUUGCGCAUGUAAAAUUGACGUAUACGAGAGAUAGCAUAUCCUUUGUGCACAACAGUAGGAGUUUGACGCUGGGUGCGAGAAAGAAUGAUAUCGACAAAGUCCUUGCCAUUGGGAACCACCGUAAUUUUCUUAAAAUUAUACUGCACCAUCUUUUAUAAUCUGGACUUGCAGUAUAGAAUUGAAAGUGUAUCGAUGGCUGCAAGAGAAGUCGACGGCCUUUGAAGGGUUUUUGGACAGACCAAAA
rnacentral:misc_RNA from 1 species